GGAGAACAACUAUGGAGCAAAAUGCUAAAAGGAAGAGGUGCAUUCAUCCUAAGUGGGGCAGCUUUCACCCCAGAGUGGCCGGGGAAGUGCUGUCUUCGUUUGGCCAGCAAUAAUUAAUGGCAGGAAUUCCCAGCCAGCCCACUCUUGGACCUGAAGGCUUCUUUCGGACAGCAGGCAGAAAACCUGGCUUUAAAAGGGGAGCUCAGACAGGAAGCAGCAAUGUUCCAGGAGGAUUUCUGAGUCAAGCAGGAGAGCAACUGGCUUCUUGAAGUGUGAAUUUCAAAGGUCCCUAAACCCUUGGCUGCACAGCUGGAGCAGGGCUGAGGAACCAGCACCCCAGAGGACCUGCAUUUCCCCAUCACUUGCACCUUGAGUCAUGGCUGAGCUGCACAAGCCUCUUCAGAGUGAGAAGAGAAAUCUUCAAGCUCAGAUAGGCAUUGAAACAGCUAAUUUGGGUGGACACCAAGUCCAGGCUGCUAUUGAAACUGUCUCAUGUCUAUGCCUGAGUUUUUAAUCCCAUAUGAGAUACCAAAGCAUGCUCAGAAAUAGUAUAACAACAAGACUGACAGCGGGUGAGUGUUUGCAUGAAGACACUGUUGGACCCGGAUCCUGUUAAAACAUUUUGUGUGCUGCAGCCAUGGCAAACAGCUCUAUUAAUUAGCAAUUAUAUUAACUGUGUGAAGCUCCUGCUAGAUCAAGCUCCUUUGGGUAGGCAGAGGAGUGAUGUGAGCUAUGAGCAUGCUGAGCAGGGUAGAAAGGGUUAUAUUUUUGUGGUUUAAUUCAUCAAGGAAUUUAAAGUAAUGGUUGGUGGGGGAAAGUGAGUGCAUUUGUGCUGGAGACUGUGAUUUCUAUUUUUCUUUUUGUCAGCAUUCUGAUCAGUCUGCCAUGGGCUUUCCUCUGACCCUGCUGCUCAUAUCCUUUUACAUUUCCUCUGUCAAUUAAGCUAAAAUAUGAGAAAAAAAGGCAGGAGAAAGGCUCUUGUCAAGUGGUUCUUGGGGGGUUGUGCAUAUAGGUGUUAAAAAGUGCCUCAUUAAAUCUCCCUUAAGGCUUUUCGGGAUGUUUCUAAUUUAACUGUUUUGCAUCAUACCGUUCCAGUUCUGAUUUCUUCUGGAGGUGAGAUGCAGCUACAUUUGCCAAAUAUUUUUUCACGGAAUGUGUUAAAACAAC